rnacentral:misc_RNA from 1 species
CCGAGUCGUCGACAUGGGUUGUUGCUGGUCCUCAAAUGGGGGCACGUGCACGCUCUGUUCACACAUCCACUCACACCUGUGCACCCUCCCCGUAGUUCUGUGGUCUGGGAGACGUGUCGUCUUCCUCCCGUAGUCCUACGUCUUUACACACGCACUGUAAUAAAGUUUAUGGAAUGCAUGACGCGUUUAACGCAAUACAAUA